GAAGAAUGUGUGGAGAAGCAAAGGAAAAUUAAAAUGGAGGACCUUUUUUAUCAAACUUUAUACCUUUAUUGGAAGGUAAUAUGCUUUAUUUAAUAUCAAUCCUUGUAGUAGAGUACUUAGAUUACCAAUAUAGAUGGAAAUUUAGGACAACGAACCCGAAUUCAAUGCGAUAUUUCGACAUAAAGUUUGUGCUUUUGCUUUGCACGUGGUUCGCUUUAUGGGCGAUUGUCGAACUUUAAACGGAGUAAAAAGACUAACUGAGAUCUAGAAUUGUUUAAGUUGUCGAAAAGUUGCUAUCUCUGGGUUCUUGCCGAAAAUUUUUAUAUUAUAAAAUGCCGAAUACAGAGACGAGCUUGUACAUUUCAAUCUUGUGACAAAAUAUUUUUGAUGUUUUUAUUCAUUUAUAUGCAGAAAAAGCCUACAACGUAUUUGAUUCAUGCUUGCAAAACAAAGUUAAUUAUGUCUCACAGACAUUCCAACUACUGGAGGUAAAAUUCUAGUUCUUCUGGGAAAAAAUAAUAAAUAUUAAGUCUUCUGAAAUGGCGUUUCCUGCAUUUUGGGACUAUGUUAUAAAUGAUCCUAUAAAUUGCCAUAAGGUAACUUCAAAAAAGGUCCGAGACAGACUAUUAUGCUUCUAAAAACAGUAUAUUUAUAAUUUUUUUAUGAUAUUUCCUGAAUAUAUUUCUGAAAAAUCGGGAGAAUUUGAUAAAAAUUGGGAGACCGGGAGAUUGUAUGAAUUUUCGGGAGAUUGCAUAAUUUUCGGGAGACUCCCGGUAAAAUCGGGAGAGUUGGAAUGUCUGGUCUCAAUCAAUUCCAUAGUUGCCCAUCCUUUGCCCCCCGGCAUUUGUCGGGAAUUUUCAACUGUACUUGUUCCCAGGGUCCGGACAUUUGCUUUCUGCAGGUUAGCCCUGGGGUGGGGAAUUUGCUCGAGGCUAAAAAGUUGAAACGAAAUGGCCACAGAAUCGAUUUUAAAUACAGAUAUAUUGAUACGAGAUAGAGCCUGCGUUCGAUUUUUUUGUUAAAAAAUCUUCAGAAAACUUAUAUUUUGUUUCCAAGGGUGGGAAUUUUGUAGCAUUUGGACUCCAUGGUGGGGCAUUUGCGACAUUUAUGCCAAAAUGACAAAUGCCCGGGCGGGAGGGGGGGGGGGCACCCAUGGAAUUGAUUGAGACAUUUAUUUACAAAUAAAACUAAGUGAAAAUUGCUACAAUAAGGCAAAAUACAGAAUUGUGUUUCUUGACCUCAGGAGGUCGGAAAACGAAGUUUAACCUAUGAAUGCAAAGAACUUAUAAACACAAAAUCUUCAAAUAUUUUUUGGCUUGAUAUUGUUCGGCAAUUGCUGUGAUCCGUUGGCAUUGCCACAACAUGUAAACAUUUCGCUAUUCAAGCUAUUCACAUCCUCAGUGAAAUUCUGGUACAUUUUUGUAGAUGUACAGUGGAAGUUUGAAGAACUUUGCAAGCCCCUGCCUCAAGAUCUCAUGAUUAUGAUAAGUGGAUACAUUCCAAGAUCCUGAAUUAGAGGUAAAUUAUUUUUCUGCUAAUUAUUUCUAACCUUCUUGGAUCAUUUUCUUUGUAAUAUAUUAAUUUGUUUCACGUUCUCAAUAGUGAGUUUUUAAAAUUUUCUAGAUGUGUGUUGCAAUUUCCAAGAAUGUCCCAAGUUGUUGGCUGAAGUGUUUUUGAUCACCAAAAUGAGCACCGUCAUUGGAAAGUAUAUAAAAGGUCUUAAUAUUUUCCUGUCUUAUCUUACAUGAAAUGCUUUGAACAUUACGUGAUUGCCUAUGGUCAAUGGUUUUGAAAAUCCCAGCAGAAUGUUGCAAAAAUAGCACGACCAUCUGACUUAUGACACAAAAUUCAACAAAAAUAACAAACACAAUCUUUAUGCCUAAAUAUGGUGAGUGCACAACAAUUGCACUAUUUUCAUUCUAUUAUUUCACCACUGUUUCGACUUGUAAAUUAAUUUGGAAAAUGUCAGUUUUGUGGUCCCUCGAUUACUUGAUUAAUUUUUGUGUUGCCACUGAUCACAGAAAGUCUAUAAUUUUCAAAGCAUUUUAUGAGCAAGCCAGAAAAUGACAAACUGUCAAAACUUUUGUUUAAUUUAAUUAACAGUGAUGAUUCGGUUUGGACAUACAUUUUUUUCUGUUUGGCAUAAUAGCUAAAUCUUAAAGUGCAGAAUAUAUAAAUUUCUGUUUCUCUUUGUU